GACGAACGCUGGCGGCGUGCUUAACACAUGCAAGUCGAACGGAAAGGCCCCUUUGGGGGUACUCGAGCGGCGAACGGGUGCGUAACACGUGAGUAACCUGCCCUUGACUUCGGGAUAACUUCAGGAAACUGGGGCUAAUACCGGAUAGGAAUCCUUGCUGCAUGGUGGGGGUUGGAAAGCUUCGGCGGUUUUGGAUGGACUCGCGGCUUAUCAGCUUGUUGGUGGGGUAGUGGCUUACCAAGGCUUUGACGGGUAGCCGGCCUGAGAGGGCGACCGGCCACAUUGGGACUGAGAUACGGCCCAGGCUCCGACGGGAGGCAGCAGUGGGGAAUAUUGCACAAUGGGCGGAAGCCUGAUGCAGCAACGCCGCGUGCGGGAUGACGGCCUUCGGGUUGUAGACCGCUUUCAGCAGGGGCGAAGCUUGUGGUGACGGUACCUGCAGAAGAAGCACCGGCUAACUACGUG
rnacentral:rRNA from 1 species